GCCUCCAUAGCUCAGAGGUUAGAGCACGGGUCUCGUAUAUACCGGGGUUGCAGAUUUCGAAUCUCGCUGGUGGCU